CUUUGAGUCGAGUUGUUUGGGAAUACAGCUCAAAGUAGGUGGUAAAUUCCAUCUAAAGCUAAAUAUUGGUGCGAGACCGAUAGCGAACAAGUACCGUGAGGGAAAGAUGAAAAGAACUUUGAAAAGAGAGUUAAAGAGUACCUGAAACUGUUGAAAGGGAACCGUAUCGUUUCCAGUGUUGUAUCCUAUGCAUAUUUCAUUCGCGGAGUAAUUUGCGGGUGCCCUGUGCAUGGGUGUGACGUCAGGGUCAGUUUGUAUGCUGCGGGAGAUGGUCAGUGAGGAGGUGCGUCACUUCGGUGAAAGUUAUAUCUCGCUGUCUAGUAGCCGUGGUUGAGACUGAGGUGCCUACAACAUGCCUUAAGGUUCCGUGUUGUCUCGUGUUGGUGACUGCUUUGAUAGCUUGCUAUGUCUGUGGUUUAUCAGUGCGAUUGAUGAUGCGGAUAACUUUUGCUGUUCGGGACUCUGGCGAAAUGGAGCGAUACGACCCGUCUUGAAACACGGACCAAGGAGUCUAACAUGUGUGCAAGUAUUAGGGCGUGGAAACCCAAAUGCGUAAUGAAAGUAAAUGCUGCUUAUGCAGCUGUGGUAGGAAAGGGCUGUCAAGGUCCUGGCACUAUCGACCGAUCAUGAGCCUACGGGCAAAAGAUUUGAGUAUGAGCAUAUAUGUUGGUACCCGAAAGAUGGUGAACUAUGCCUGAAUAGGGUGAAGCCAGGGGAAACUCUGGUGGAAGCUCGUAGCGAUUCUGACGUGCAAAUCGAUCGUCAAAUUUGGGU
rnacentral:rRNA from 1 species